rnacentral:lncRNA from 1 species
UUUAAGUUCAUUAGAACACAUUCAUUCUGUGUCAGAAACCUAUGCUGUGUCAACUAUUUAAUCACAAUCCAAAUUUAGAGCUGAAUCCAGCUUGAAUAUUGUGUCCAUACUUGCCCUAACCGUUCAGGGUUCAACCUCUGCGGUCGUAUAAAGCUACGCCCUGUGGAGCAUCUGGUUUUCAUUUUCAGAAAUAAGAAGUUAUUUUGGGAAAGUUAUGUAUUUAAUUUUUUGAAAUUUGUAUGUGUCUAUCAUGAUUGGCAGCUGUUAGAGUGUACUUUGAUAAUUUACUUUAAAGUGGCAAACAACAGUUUAGAAAGAAAAUCUGAAAUAUUCAGAAAUCUUUUAAUAUUUUUUAUAUUUUGCAUCCUAUGUUGUAGACAUAUCUAUUAGUAUUUAAAGUUUUUGAUGAAUAAGUAAUGGUCAUAAAAUUUUUUUACAUCUUUUAAUGUUUGCAAGAAAGCAUGGUAAAAUAUCCCUUUUAUAUAUGUACUUUCAAAAUCUGCCUCAAAUGUUUGAAUCAUUCAUUUGUAGGGUAAUGUUUCAUAAGAUAACUUUAUUUUCUUCAAUAUUUGCUUAUAUAACUAAUAACAAAACUGCAUUCUCUCGUUUCAAGAUGCUUCAUAAGUUUUUUUUGUUUUUUUUUGGUCAAUAUUUCUAUGUUUUAGAUUCAUUUUAUCAUCCUGUAUUUGCACAAGUACAGAUAUUCGUUUGAAAAAUAUAUUCAAUCCCAUUUUAAAAAAUCUUCUAUCUUACGGUUUAUGUAUAUCAGGGAGUGCAAUCAUAAUGAUCUUUUAGAAAAAAACAUGAUAUAAAUGAAACUUUCUGCAUAAACGUCAAGCUUCAGAAUGGUAGCAUGACAAAGAAAAAGGAUUUUACAAUUAUGUUUUAUUAUCCUAUAAUUGUUGGUUCAUACAAUGCAUUGGAUUUUUCCUUAAAAAAAAUGAAAGGAUUUAUAAUACAAUUGGGGUUUUGAAAAAUAAGAAACUUGCAGACAUUUAAUAUUUUUUUGAUCAUUAUAGUGAUUAGACCCUUUGUAUAUGUAAACUAGAGUUGACACACUUCGUCUAAUGGUAUAUAUUGUUAGUAAGGUUUGUCUGUCUGUUUGUUUGUUACACAAGGGGAAGAUGAAGAUUUACACAUGUUUAAUAUAAUAGUUCAGUUAUUGCUGUGCAAUUUGUUGAUAAAAAAAUUAGAAAAUGUGCAAAUUUAUAUUUACAAGUAAUAUUUUGUUUCAUACCAUACAUGCUGGUAGUUUGUAAGUUUGUUAUAUAAUUAUUGAAGCAUGAAAAAUUUUGUUGAAAAAUUUAAAGUGGUAAAGAAGCAGAAAUUUAGCAUCAAAUGCUUAACCUAUAUUUAGGAAAUAUUUUCUUUACUAUUCAACAAAAGAGAAUCACCAUUUAUAGCAGAGAUUUACGAAAAAGAACUUUUUGACAUGCAUGUCAGGAAAAUUUCAAAAAAUAUUGCUUUUUGACUCG